rnacentral:lncRNA from 1 species
GUACCUCAAACACCAGUCACCACACAAGUGUCCUGCUUCCCCAAGUCCGAAACCACCAACAAGAAAGAGGCGCUAGCUAGCUCCUGAAAGCAAGCACCUGCCAUUACGCCGUUCUAAAAGGAGCGAAUGCAGGCCGCACCACACCUACACUAUACACACCAAACCUCUGUAUGUAUACAGUAUAUACGUGCACAUCGCCGGCCGGCACAUGCACAGUGCACAGUCGAUAUAAUGGCGCGCGCGCCUCCCUCAGAGCUCAGAAGAAACACGUGUCGAGGUAGCCGUCCGCCCGGCGGCGGCGGAACUCGAGCAGGCCGCCGUAGGUGCGGUCGGCGACGCUGACGAACAGCGCCUCGCCGUCGGGGCUGAACGCGGCGCCGGCCACCUCCCCGAACAGCUCCACCUC